rnacentral:piRNA from 1 species
GCAAGUCAUAAGACUUAGCUACAGUC